rnacentral:rRNA from 1 species
UACGAAGGUGGCAAGCGUUGUUCGGAUUUACUGGGCGUACAGGGAGCGUAGGCGGUUGGAUAAGCCCUCCGUGAAAUCUCCAGGCUUAACCUGGAAAGUGCAGAGGGGACUGUUCAGCUAGAGGAUGGGAGAGGAGCGCGGAAUUCCCGGUGUAGCGGUGGAAUGCGCAGAUAUCAGGAGGAACACCAGCGGCGAAGGCGGCGCUCUGGGCCGGUACUGACACUGAGGAGCGAAAGCGUGGGUAGCAAACAGG